rnacentral:lncRNA from 1 species
AUGUUGAUGGAGAGGAGGCCAAGAAGCUUGUCACGGAGGAAGGCUACAGUGUGGUCGAUGUCCGCGAUAAGUCUCAGUUUGAUCGAGCGCAUAUCAAACCGUCCACGCACGUCCCACUGUUUACAGUGAACACCGAUGGAGAUAUCAGUAAGAAUUCUUGCUUUCUUUUCCGAGUUUUUCUCUGUUACCUCGGCUUAAGUUGACGCUCUUUCCAUUCUUCCAGGUACCUCGAUCAGGCGAGUGAUGCACAAUGGAUUCGCCGGGCUGUUUUACGGAAUAGCGUUCACGAAACCAAACUCCAACUUCGUCGCUGAUGUUGAGCGGAGUUUUUCUAAAGACAGCAAGCUGUUACUCGUCUGCCAGGAAGGCUUAAGGUGAGAGUGAGAGAUACACUAAGUUACCUUGAAGGCGAGCGUUUCUUUGUCUUGACCAUUUGAUUCUUUCAGGUCUGGACAAGCAGCCGAGAAGCUGGAAGAAGCUGGAUUCCGAAACUUGGCAUUUAUUGACAAUGGGCUGCAAAAAGUUAAGCCAGGUAAGCAAAACAAAAAAAAGGGGGUAGAAAGAUUCUUAAGUUGUACCCCUUGAAGCAGAUCUUUUCGCAACAGAGGGUCCCAAGCAGCUCCAGGACGCAGGAAAAGCGGGCCUGGUCACCAUCCAAGGCCAAUU